rnacentral:miRNA from 1 species
CAAACCUUUGAUCUCGAUUUCAGUUGAAUGACACAUGGAUGAAAUUCAUCCAUUUGAUUCUCAUUUAACCAAAAAUCAACUAUCUGACCAAAUAGUUUUUUAUUUUUUUAUUAUUUUAUGUGGGAUAAUUUGGUCAGUUCGCUGACUUUUGGUCAACUAAUGGUCAAAUGGAAGAAUUCCGUCCACAUGUCCUCGAGCUGCACUCGAUAUGAAAGGUUUG